rnacentral:rRNA from 1 species
UUCGGGGAGUGAGUGCUGGUAUGAGUCUGUCAUCCUUCUAGAGGGCCAUGCCUGCUGUUCAUUCAGCUGGGCGUGUGCUAUCUAGAUCUUUUACUUUGAAAAAAUUAGAGUGUUUAAAGCAGGCUUACGCUGUGAAUACAUUAGCAUGGAAUAAUAAUAUAGGACUUUGGUCUUAUUUUGUUGGUUCUGAGGACUGAAGUAAUGAUUGAUAGGGAUAGUUGGGGGUGCUAGUAUUCAGUGGCCAGAGGUGAAAUUCUUGGAUUCACUGAAGACUAACUACUGCGAAAGCAUUUGCCAAGAAUGUCUUCGUUAAUCAAGAACGAAAGUCAGAGGAUCGAAGGCGAUUAGAUACCGCCCUAGUUCUGACCGUAAACGAUACCAUCUAGCGAUCCGAUAGGGUCUAUCUAGCCUUGUCGGGGAGCUUCCCGGAAACGAAAGUCUUUCGGUUCCGGGGGUAGUAUGGUUGCAAAGCUGAAACUUAAAGAAAUUGACGGAAGGGCACCACCAGGAGUGGAGCUUGCGGCUUAAUUUGACUCAACACGGGAAAACUCACCCGGUCCGGACAUGAUUAGGAUUGACAGACAUGACAGAUCUUUCAUGAUCUCAUGGGUGGUGGUGCAUGGCCGUUCUUAGUUCGUGGGGUGACUUGUCUGGUUGAUUCCGAUAACGAACGAGACCUUAACCUGCUAAAUAGCCAGGCUAGCUUUGGCUGGUCGCCGGCUUCUUAGAGGGACUAUCGG